CCUGCUGAAGCAGAUCAGGGUUUCAAUUCAAUAAAAGUUUUUUUGUUUGUUUGUUUUUUGUUUUUUUUCUGAGCACCUAGUGAUAUCAGGAACUCAAACUAGGCACUAAAAAGCAAAGGAGAACAGACUAUUCAAUGACUGUAGCAGGUAGCAGUGACCAGAAGGGCAGGAGAAAGAAGAUACCCAACAGAUUUCAUUCUUUCCCUUGGUUAACACAACACUCGGAGCAUUUGCAGAAAUAGAUGUGACUCACAUGGGGAUUUAUCACACAGCUGAGGGGAAUCCACAAUAUGGUCUGCCUCAGUAUAAACAACAGAAAAGAAAAAAACUUGGGAUACUUUCACUGGCACAAAUCAAAAAGAAACAGUUUGAUUUAUCCAUGAAAAUAUUAGUAUUGUCCUCCUUCACACUACCAAUGGCUGACAGUGGAAAAUGAUGGAUGCUGAAGAUGUAAUCUUUUCCUUGAAACCUUCCUCAAACACUCUGUGAAGGUAAGAAAGCCCAACAUAAUAUAAUUCAUCCCGAAUGGUUGUCUGGAUUUCAAAUUCAGUGAUUAAAAGGUUAGAUGAACUAUAUGAAGAGCUGAGCUGAAUCCUUCAGAGGCACCUGACGAC